GGGGCCGGCCCUGGGCGUGUGUACACGUGGACACACGUGUCCUCUGAGCUCGGCCACACGCUGGCUGGCUGGCACGUGCAGAGCGGGAGCCACCGUGGCCCCUCCGCCCAGCCAGGGCACACAGGCUCCCCUGCACGUGUGUGAAGGCAAGCACACCUCUGCACACAUGCACAGACACACGCGUGUGCUCAGAGGAGGUGAGCUGGGCUCUGUCUGCCAAACUGCACACAGCUGAGAGUCAGGGCCCGGGGACCAUGCUGGGAAGGGCGACGGGGAUGUGGCCGGCAGCGUUCGGGCAGCUGAGGCAUCUCACUCACCCCCACAACAGCCUGCCUGUCCCUGGAUGAGACGCGCCCCAGGGAGGGGCCAUCAGACAGGAGGUCACCCUGGGCCCUGCUCAUCAGACGGUAGUGGUGGACAGCACCGCACCCAAGUGUGUUCUGGAACCGGGCUGAGGGGCACUGGGACAGACCCCCUCCACCGCCACUGUGUGACGCAGGGUCCACCAACCUCCAAGCAACAUGGCCCUGUCCUCUUCUGAAAACCCUCUGCAGCCACCAAGGAAAGGAGAAGGGCGCACAAGGGCCCAGGUGGCCUCCGUGCCAUCCCAGCUUCCUCCUCCGGCCACAAGGACACGAGGCCUGAGGAAUGGACGGACAAGCAGAGGGGCACAGCCUUGCCUCCUGUGUCUUGGCUGAACCGCGGUUGCUUCUGCUCCUUUGGCAAAGCCACUCAGGACCACGUCCUUCUUGCUCACAAACCCUGUGGCACCCCAGGGCCGCCCGGCCUGGACCUGAGGCUCCGGCUCACCGCUGCAGGCCUGUCUUCCACCGCUCCUCUCCCCACGCCCCACCUAGCUGCACACUCUCUCCAUCUCCUCGGGCGGCCCCCUCCCUGCUCCCGUCCCACUCGCCUCUGCCUGCCCAGAUGUCAUCUGCAGAGUGGUGUGUGUGUGCCCGGUGGCUCAGUCAUGUCCAGCUCUCUGUGACCCCAUGGACUGUAGCCCGCCAGGCUCCUCUGUCCAUGGGAUUCUCCAGGCAAGAAUACUGGAGUGGGCAGCUGUUUCCUUCUCCAGGGGCUCUUCCCGACCCAGGGAUCGAACCUGCAUCUCUUAUGUCACCUGCAUAGGUAGGCAGGUGCUUUACCCCGAGCGCCACCUGGGAAACUUCGCGUGGUGACGGUCACUAUCUUCUACUGGAAGCCUCCUCUGAGGCCUCCUACCCCAGCCCGGGCACAAGGUGGAUUCUCCCUUGCCCAGGCCCCUGGCACCCUUGGACCUGACAGACCUUCUAGCCCCUACCACCCUCCGUCUGUCUGGGGAAUACCUGGAUGCCGGCAGACUCCUCCCUGUGAGACUGUGAGCUCCCCGGGCCCAGGGGCGGGGUCUGGGUCACCUCCUCCCUGCCCUGGAACCGGAGAUCUGAACGGAGCAAGGAC
ensembl:lncRNA